GGUUGAUUCUAGCUCAGAUUGAACGCUGGCGGGAUGCUUUACACAUGCAAGUCGAACGGCAGCACGGACUUCGGUCUGGUGGCGAGUGGCGAACGGGUGAGUAAUGUAUCGGAACGUGCCUAGUAGCGGGGGAUAACUACGCGAAAGCGUAGCUAAUACCGCAUACGCCCUUCGGGGAAAGCGGGGACCUUCGGGCCUCGCACUAAUGAAGCGGCCGAUAUCGGAUUAGCUAGUUGGUGGGGUAACGGCUCACCAAGGCGACGAUCCGUAGCUGGUUUGAGAGGACGACCAGCCACACUGGGACUGAGACACGGCCCAGACUCCUACGGGAGGCAGCAGUGGGGAAUUUUGGACAAUGGGGGAAACCCUGAUCCAGCCAUCCCGCGUGUGCGUGAGGCCUUCGGGUUGUAAAGCACUUUUGGUAGGAAAGAAACGGCACGGGAUAAUACCCCCGUGCAACUGACAGUACCUGCAGAAUAAGCACCGGCUAACUACGUGCCAGCAGCCGCGGUAAUACGUAGGGUGCAAGCGUUAAUCGGAAUUACACGGGCGUAAAGCGUGCGCCAGGCGGUUCUGGAAGAAGAUGUGAAAUCCCAGAGCUUAACUUUGGAACUGCAUUUUUAACUACCGAGCUAGAGUGUGUCAGAGGGAGGUGGAAUUCCGCGUGUAGCAGUGAAAUGCGUAGAUAUGCGGAGAGGAACACCGAUAGCGAAGGCAGCCUCCUGGGAUAACACUGACGCUCAUGCACGAAAGCGUGGAGGGGGCAAGCAGGAUUAGAUACCCUGGUAGUCCACGCCCUAAACGAUGUCAACUAGCUGUUGGGCCCCCGGGCCUUGGUAGCGCAGCUAACGCGUGAAGUUGACCGCCUGGGAAGUACGGUCGCAAGAUUAAAACUCAAAAGGAAUUGACGGGGACCCGCACAAGCGGUGGAUGAUGUGGAUUAAUUCGAUGCAACGCGAAAAACCUUACCUACCCUUGACGUAUGGAAUCCCGAAGAGAUUUGGGAGUGCUCGCAAGAGAACCGGAACACAGGUGCUGCAUGGCUGUUGUCAGCUCGUGUCGUGAGAUGUUGGGUUAAGUCCCGCGACGGGCUCAACCCCUUGUCAUUAGUUGCGCACGAAAGGGCACUCUAUUGAGACUGCCGGUGACAAACCGGAGGAAGGUGGGGAUGACGUCAAGUCCUCACUUGGCCUUAUAGGUAGGGCUUCACACGUCAUACAAUGGUCGGGACAGAGGUCGCCAACCCGCGAGGAGCCAAUCCCAGAAACCCGAUCGUAGUCCGGAUCGCAGUCUGCAACUCGACUGCGUGAAGUCGGAAAUCGCUAGUAAUCGCGGAUCAGCAUGUCGCGGUGAAUACGUUCCCGGGUCUUGUACACACCGCCCGUCACACCAUGGGAGUGGGUUUUACCAGUAGUUAGCCUAACUUAAUAAGGAGGGCGAUUACCACGGUAGGAUUCAUGACUGGGGUGAAGUCGUAGCUAAGGUAA
rnacentral:rRNA from 1 species